UACAGAGGUCUCAAGCGUUGUUCGGAUUCAUUGGGCGUAAAGGGUGCGUAGGUGGCGCCGUAAGUCAGGUGUGAAAUCUCGGGGCUCAACCCCCGAAACUGCACUUGAUACUGCGGCGCUCGAGUACUGGAGAGGAGAUUGGAAUUUACGGUGUAGCAGUGAAAUGCGUAGAUAUCGUAAGGAAGACCAGUGGCGAAGGCGAAUCUCUGGACAGUUACUGA
rnacentral:rRNA from 1 species